rnacentral:lncRNA from 1 species
UUUUUUUUUUUUUUUUUUUUAACACUUAAAAUUUAAGUAAUAAAAUUAAGCAAUAAACAAAAGAUAAUUAAGUAAAACAAAAAUAUAAACAACAAGAUGAUUAAGUAAAACAAAAAUAUCAAACAAAAACAAACGAACGAAGUUGCAAUUUUUCUUUUUCCCAUUUUUCAUUUUUUAUUUUUCCUUUUUUUCCUUUAAAUAAUGAAAUUAAAUCCUAAACAACUAAAACAUAUUUUUUGGAACACUUUUCUUUUUCCUUUGAGAAAUUCUAGCUAAAAUGGAUAAAAUAACUAAAACUAAAAGUAAAUACAAAUAAAAAUAGAACAAAUAAAAAUGAAUAGUAAAUAAAUAAAUAAAUAAUAAAACACCAAAAAUUUGGUGUCUACACCUGUAGCAAAAGUUGUUAAAAAACUAGUAACUAAAAAAUUUGGUAAAAAACUAGGGUGCCAAACAAGCCCAUAAAUGUGUCAAAGAAUUUCUCGUGAAAGAAUUUAAUUAUCAUAAAACAUUUAAAAAAAUUAUUUCUUUUAAGUAAUUUUUAUUUUAUUAACAAAUUCUUGUUAUGCAUUAAUUGUUACUGAAAAUAAAAAUUAAAUACUAGUGUCAUUAUUUUACUUAGUCUGAGUGAAUUGCUUGAGUUCACCCUUGAUUUUUGAAUGCUCAGUUCGAAAAGUUGCCCAAGUAUGCAACUCGCUCUAAUGGUCAAAGGGGAAAAAAGUCAUUAGCUUAGGAAAAUAACAAAACGGGUUCUAGCUAGUUUUAUCGGUUCUCAGUAAAACACACAAUUUUCGCCCAAGUUUUUGAUGGACAAUUUUUGAAGUAAGUUUGGACUAAAUAUCUAACUGAUUCCCAAUUCGACCGAUCGAUCCUGUCCAAAUUUAAAAACAUAAAUUUGGAUACAUUGUCCCUAAAAGAUUCCAAAGCAUAAAUAGGUUACAUAAGAAUUACAUGACAACAUAGGGGAACAAAGAAUUUGGGAGGAUUCUUACACAAUUCGAAUUAGGAAGAUGAUUUGUAAAAAUGAUCGGUAGAAAUUGAGCGUGAGGCCCAAGCAACCUAAAAAGGGGUGAAUUAGGUUGACAAAAAUUAUAGCAAGUAAAGACCAAAUUUUCAUCCAAUAUUUAACCAAAAUAGUUUAAGUAAACAAGCACUCAAACAAAUACAAUAACAAGAGAUAUAAAAAAAUUAUGCCACACAAACAAAUAACAAAAAAAGAACAAUAAAGUAAAAGGAUUGCAAACCAAUCAAACUCCCAAACUUGGAGUUAAAUCAACCAAGUAGUUUCUUCAAUUGAUGGUAAUACUAAUCAACUUGUACAAGUGAAGGCUCACUCCUUCCUCACCCUAAAAGCCUUUACUUGAUCUAAGAAGUUUUACAACUCUUCAAGUUAACCCUCAACUAGUUACAAUUGAAAGUUCACCCAACAAAUUAAGAGUUACUUUACAAGUGAGGGUCAUCUUCACAAAGGUUUUACUUCUCCUUUUUGAGAAAUCUCAUAAACCCAACUUUUUCCACACCUAUACAAUAAUUAAAGUAUAUUUCUACCUAAAUAUUACUCUUAAAAGCUUAUAUUUUGUGUAAGCAAAAGUCCCUCAUAUUUUCAAACUUGGGGGUAUUUAUAGGUGAUGAAAAUUGGUGUUGAAAAGAGUUCAACGGUCAAGCAUUAAAUGCUGCAAAAACUAGUCGUUAGACCUAUCAGACAUCCAAUGCUUGAUUCAUCAUCUGAUACAUGUGUCCGAUACUUUCAAAAGAAUUUUUUAUUAAAUUCUUUGGACGGCUGAUCCCUUGAAGUAGUGUUUGACAACCUUGCAUCCAAAAAAACCAGUAUGUUCAAGUUACAUCUUCUUUUGUGUUGGACGAUCGAUAGGAAAGAUGAGUGUCUAAUCAAAAUGUUUGAUGUGUACUCGCUGAUUGAUCCUACCGUUCGACAGACAAUAUUGCUUUUCAAUCCUUCUUGAUUUGUUUUCCUCCUUUUUCCAUUGAACUAAGAACCUCUGCUAACAAAAUUCUUACAUAAAAUCAUUAGUCCAAAUCAUCAUUUUUUUUAGUUAUCAUCAAAACCAAGGAUUGAUCAACCUAAAUCUUCAGAAAGUAGUGAAAAGGAAUUAAAGGGAUGCAUAAAACUACCAUGCCCAUAAGCAUCUCAAUGGUCAUUAGCUUGUGCAACUUACAACACACAGCAUAUGCUUUCAAACUCGUCAUAAUUCUUGGCUAGGGUUUGGCUUCACAGUUCCCUCGAGUAUGUUUGAUUUUGAUGGGAAAUCGACUUUCACGCCUUAAUGGCUAGAGUUUUUAUGAAGCCUUCAAUCUAGAAAACACAAAGAUUUUAAGUUAAUUCAACAUUAGAGAUUGUUCUCUCUCUAUUGGCUGGUUUUUAUUAUUUUCUAUUUCUUUGUUCCCUCUGAGCAUCUCUUUGCUAGUUAAAAAUGGUAGAAUUUCAUUAAAUACUCUCUACAUCAAGAAGUCAUUUUGACCUCUUUUUAGUCUAGUCCCUGCGGAUGAAAACUAUAUAAAUUUCACUAAUGACUCAAACAAAAAGCGCUUCUUCAAAUGUCAUCACUACUAAGAGGAAUAUCAGGAUUUGAAGGACAACUUCUUCCAUCCAAGCAAUAGUAUAUAAUGGAAAGAAGGACUUGAGAAGGUCGAGUUGACACUGGAUGAUAAAUAUCUGCCGAGUCAUUAUAGUCUUGGAACAAAAUUAAGAGCAAAAUUAUGUGCACGAUUGGAACAAAGAGGGACAAGGCAAAAUGGAAGAACAACAACUUGGUCAUAGUAGCUUGUAUGUAGAAGCCCCAACCGAUAGGAGGGUAAUUAUCAGACAUCUCCCUUAGGGCCACUAUAAAUAAGAAUGAAUGAAGACUCAACCAAUGUUAGAGUAAGAAACAAGAAUUUCUUUAGAAAUUAAAGUAACAGAAAGCUUCACAUUAUAUUAAAACAAGAGCCUAAGUUGCUACAUAAUAGAUAAGCUUUAUAAUCCCAACAAGUUUUUAAUAGAACAGAAAUUAGACACUAAGAAAAGUAGGGAAAGAAAAAAUCAGCCUAAGCUUCAUUAGAUGGCACCACCACCAUAGAGGCAGAGAAAAAGAUGAAGGGUUGACUUCUUCUGGAUUUAAAUUGCUUCCCAGCGAAAAUGAGCCACUACUGGAUGAGAGGAAUUCCUCAUUAAUAUUGAAUUUUGGCCUUGACACUAUCAAUGCUGUCAGAGCUCUCAACUUCCAAGGUAAUCAUCUUGCUAGUUAAGGUUUUAAGAAAGAUCUACAUACCGCCAUGAAGCCUUAGGACGAGAUGAAGAGUCAACUCCUUCUAAAUAUUAUAGUUAGCUAGGGUUUUGUUGUCCUCGAGCUGCUUGCCAAUAAAGAUUACACGUUAUAGAUUCGGUGAAAUCCCCUUAUUAUCCUGAAUCUUGGCCUUCACAUUGUCAAUGGUGUCGAAAGUCUCAACCUCAAGAGAGUUACCAUCUUGCUGGUUAGGGUUUUGAUGCAAAUUUGCAUACUACUACAGAAAUGGAGAAAAAGGUGAAGGGUGGACUCCUUUUCGAUACUGUAGUAAACAAGGUGAAUAGUAAUGUGUCCAGAAUUUGGCUUGAUGACUGGAUUGGUCUAGGUCCCCUUAGAAAUUAGCAAUAAUCUUGGUUCAUAUAUUGUACAAAUUUCAACUGCAUCUUGCCUAUAAAUAGAGGGACUUCAAAAGUAUUUUUGGGUAAUUUUGAUAAAUGAAAGUUGUUCUCAAGAAUAUUUGAAGUGUUUGUAUGGUGAUUUAAAACAUGAAAAAAGGGUGAAAAUAAAGAUUUGACGGGUAGAGUGUGUUGGAGGUUCGGGUGUGUGAGGAACAGGAAGAGGAAAUGAACAAAAAAAUGAAAGUUCAUGUUUUAAAGAUGGUCAGUAGAGAUCUGUGAGGCAGAUCCGCAAGGUACACCUCAUGGGUUUGCCUAGGGGUGGCAAUUUUCGACACGACCUGAAAACACGACACGAACCUAACACGAAAUUAAUGGGUUUGGGUUGAGAUUUCGGGAAUUCGGGUCAGAAUCGGGUUGGACCCGAUGAACCCGAAAAGAAAACAGGUCGAUUUCGGGUCAACCCAUGGUGACCUGAUAUGACCCGAUAUGACCCGUUUACGAAUUAAAAAUAAUUUAAUAAACAUAAAAAUAAUUUUAUCUAACUAAACUAAGUUAUUCUUUUUUUCAAAGGCAUUAAUUACUUAAUCCUAAAUGAAUUAUUUAAUUUGUGUGAAGUUGAAAUUAUUAUAUUUGGACAAAUAAUAUAUUAUAUUAUUUUUUACUUUUAUACUGUUUUAAUUUAUUUUAUAUUUUGUUUGGAAUAAAACACUUUUACGGUGUUUAAUUUAUUUUAGAUUUGGUUUGGAAUUAUUUAUUUAAAAUUUUAUUACUUGAUUAUGUAAUUAGUUUUGUGAGAAAUUGAUUUUAUUAGAAAUUACAGUGAUAAAUUAAUAAAUUAAAAUUAAGUUUCGGGUCAUUUCGGGUCGACCCGCCAACCCGUCAACCUGAAAUUUUCGGGUUCGGGUCAGCAUACCUGACCCGUCACGGGUUGGCGGGUCGGGUUCGGGUCAACAGAUUUUCUGACGGGUUGACCCGAACCCGACCCGCCAACCUGAUUUGGACCCGAAUUGCCACCCCUAGUGUCGCGCCCCACUUUUUUUUUUGGAUGUUUAUAGUAGCUUUAUGGGUCUAAAUGGGACUUUUGAAAAUGCGACGAUUUGACCCAAGAAAAAUAGUUCAAAAAGGGUUUUUAUAUGAAAAAUGGAGUCGCCACUUGGUAUAGAGUUAGGGUGUACCAAGUCACCCAAAAAAUGAAUUUUUUAAAGAAAAAAGUAAGAAAACCCUUUUUAAACGACUCCUAGUCCACGUAAAACAAAGAAAAAGGUUCGGGAGUCACAUUUGACGAAGGGGAAGGCAAGGAUAAAAAUCCAAGGCACCCCUUCGACCUAACCAAGACUAGUUGCGUGAUUUAACCCUUAUUUUCCUAUAUUUUCUACCCAAAGUAUGUAUUGCAAAUUGGAUUUGACUAAUGAAUGAGAAAUGCAAUCCUAAGUCUAAGAAAUGUUUCUUAUGAGGCUUUUGGUCCCAUUCACACGAGUCGUGACGGCCAAUAAGGAAAGUCCUCAUAGAAAAUCAUGAAUGAUGCAAAUGAGGACUCAAAUGAGAGUGUAAGUGUGCAAAGUGUAGAAAAAAGUGCAUGUGUGCAAUUUGAAAGUGUUUGUGUGCAAAUGAAUGAAAUAUAAAUGCUCGUGUGCAAGUGAAUGAAAAUAGUAAAUAUAUAAGUAAAAUAGGUGCAAUGUGUGAAGUGAAAAGUAAAGAAAGUGAAUAAGUGUGUGAAUAUGACAUGUGGAUUUAAAAUAUAUAAUUAGUGAGGAAAAUAGUGAGAAAAUGAUAUGAAAAUGCAUGAACUUAGAGGAAUGCAUCAGGUCGGGUACGGGAAUGACAUCUAGUUUUUGUGAUUUUAAUUUUCCCUUUGAUUAGAAGGAAAAACUAGCGUGCUAAGGCUAUUUUGAAGCCACACUCGCUCGUUUCCCUUACCCAAGGGGGUUUCUCAGGCAAAUGGACCCUAUAACUAGCAUGAAAUGCAAAGGCCUAAAAUGAAGGGAAAGGGAAUCGGGGGCAUGCAAAAAAUGACAAAACUAAAAAGAAUGCAUGACAUGUAAUGAACAUACAAACAUGUACUAACGAGGGGAAAUCCCUAAGGGUCUAGCGUUGGACUAGCCCAUUCUAUGAAUUCCGACUAGCGUUGGACUAGUGGAAACGUACAUUCAUCCAUUCCAUUCAUCUACACUACAGAAAGCUAGUAGACAUGCCAAACGUUCGUAAACACAUAGCACAUAACAUUUAGCAUGCUCGACUAGAUGCAAGGGCCUAAUAAAGCAAAUUAACAUGUAGCAACAAAGGUAAGCAACCAAACUAAUAAAUCUAUUACAUUUGCUAGCUAGGCACACGUCUUCAAUAGGUCUUCAUCAAAUGCUUCUCCAAGCCCUAUCUAUUACAAGCUAAGAGGUGUACACAUACCCCAUAAAGAACAACUUAAAUAAAAGUAAAAAUAAAUGAAAUAAAUGCAAGGAAUUAAGGAAAGGCAAGGAAAGCGAAAUAGACAUGCAUAUUCACAUAACACGUAGGAGCACGUAGGGUCAAAUGAAGUGCAAAUAAGGGAUAGAAUGUACCUCCCUUGAAUCGAUGCUCUAAUGAAGUGAAAUUAUUAAAUUACCCUCCAAAAUAAUAAAAAGGUCAAGG